CUAAACAUAUUACCGAAACUGUGGAUGAACCUCUUUAGAGGUUCGUGGUAGGAGAGCGUUCUAAGGGCGGUGAAGUCAGACCGGAAGGACUGGUGGAGCGCUUAGAAGUGAGAAUGCCGGUAUGAGUAGCGAAAGAAGGGUGAGAAUCCCUUCCACCGAAUAUCUAAGGUUUCCUGAGGAAGGCUCGUCCGCUCAGGGUUAGUCGGGACCUAAGCCGAGGCCGAUAGGCGUAGGCGAUGGACAACAGGUAGAGAUUCCUGUACCAGUGCUAAUUGUUUAACCGAUGGGGUGACACAGAAGGAUAGGGAAUCGCACGAAUGGAAAUGUGCGUCCAAGCAGUGAGUGUGAGAAGUAGGCAAAUCCGCUUCUCGCGAAGCAUGAGCUGUGAUGGGGAAGGAAAUUAAGUACGGAAGUUCCUGAUUUCACGCUGUCAAGAAAAGCCUCUAGGAAGAGUAGUACUGCCCGUACCGCAAACCGACACAGGUAGAUGAGGAGAGAAUCCUAAGGUGAGCGAGAGAACUCUCGUUAAGGAACUCGGCAAAAUGACCCCGUAACUUCGGGAGAAGGGGUGCUCUAUUAGGGUGCAAGCCCGAGAGAGCCGCAGUGAAUAGGCCCAGGCGACUGUUUAGCAAAAACACAGGUCUCUGCAAAACCGUAAGGUGACGUAUAGGGGCUGACGCCUGCCCGGUGCUGGAAGGUUAAGAGGAGUGCUUAGCUUCGGCGAAGGUACGAAUUGAAGCCCCAGUAAACGGCGGCCGUAACUAUAACGGUCCUAAGGUAGCGAAAUUCCUUGUCGGGUAAGUUCCGACCCGCACGAAAGGCGCAACGAUCUGGGCACUGUCUCAACGAGAGACUCGGUGAAAUUAUAGUACCUGUGAAGAUGCAGGUUACCCGCGACAGGACGGAAAGACCCCGUGGAGCUUUACUGCAACCUGAUAUGGAAUGUUUGUACCGCUUGUACAGGAUAGGUAGGAGCCGAAGAGACGUGUGCGCUAGCAUACGAGGAGGCAAUGGUGGGAUACUACCCUGGCUGUAUGACCAUUCUAACCCGCCACGCUUAGCGCGUGGGGAGACAGUGUCAGGUGGGCAGUUUGACUGGGGCGGUCGCCUCCUAAAGAGUAACGGAGGCGCCCAAAGGUUCCCUCAGAAUGGAUGGAAAUCAUUCGCAGAGUGUAAAGGCACAAGGGAGCUUGACUGCGAGACUGACAAGUCGAGCAGGGACGAAAGUCGGGCUUAGUGAUCCGGUGGUUCCGCAUGGAAGGGCCAUCGCUCAACGGAUAAAAGCUACCCCGGGGAUAACAGGCUUAUCUCCCCCAAGAGUCCACAUCGACGGGGAGGUUUGGCACCUCGAUGUCGGCUCGUCGCAUCCUGGGGCUGUAGUCGGUCCCAAGGGUUGGGCUGUUCGCCCAUUAAAGCGGCACGCGAGCUGGGUUCAGAACGUCGUGAGACAGUUCGGUCCCUAUCCGUCGCGGGCGCAGGAAAUUUGAGAGGAGCUGUCCUUAGUACGAGAGGACCGGGAUGGACACACCGCUGGUGUACCAGUUGUUCCGCCAGGAGCAUCGCUGGGUAGCUAUGUGUGGCAGGGAUAAACGCUGAAAGCAUCUAAGCGUGAAGCCCCCCUCAAGAUGAGAUUUCCCAUUUCUUCGGAAAGUAAGAUCCCUGAAAGAUGAUCAGGUAGAUAGGUUUGGAGUGGAAGUGUAGCGAUACAUGGAGCGGACAAAUACUAAUCGAUCGAGGACUUAACCAA
rnacentral:rRNA from 1 species